UUUCUAUUCCGUUCACGCUCUCUUUCUCUCUCUAGGAUGCGCAGCUCUUCCUCUUCUCAGAUGUGUAACAUUAAGCUCCUCUUGCUUUUGGUGCUUUGAGUUGUUUUCCUACCUUGGCAACACCUGUGUUUCAUGGGGAUCAACAAUAUAUUUUUAGGGUUAAACAUUAUCUCUUCAGAUUCGGAGCAUUUGGAGAUUGAUUCAAGGGGCAAAGGCAUUACGGAGUAGGAGUUUUACGCGUUUGAGGUGUGUAUGGUGACGGUCGCUGAGUUCGUGCGCGGGUUGAUUAUCAGAGACUUACGAGGUAGCUGCCGGCGUC